GUCUUUGUCCCCCUAGGAAGUGUGGGAGUCACCACUGAGCCUUGUCAGGCCAGGUGGGAAGCUGAGACCGAUGAAGUGGUCCUGCAGCGGUGGCAGAAGCAGAUAGAUUAUGGCAAGUGCAUACCUGGGUACCAGAGCUUUCUGCAGCAGGUCCCCAGUUUGCAUACUUGAAGCUUCCUGCUUCCUCCCCGGCCCAGCUCAAAGAUGAAGUUCUCUAUCACUAAGUCUACCUGUUUCCCUAUCCCAGAUGAGGGGGCUUCAAAACACUUAGAGUAAACCCUUGACUUUUAGGGAUUUGCUGCUACAACUGUAAUAAUGAAAUGACUGGAAUUACCACUUUCUAUCCGACUAAAGAAAGGAAUCUGAAACUCUGCCCUACAGUGAUCUGAGCAUGAGAGCAUUUAUUGAAAAAAAUUUUUCCCAUCUGAGACCUCCAAUUUACAGAAGAGCCAGAAGCCUCUAUGGGCUUUCUUCCCUACUGACAUCAACACCCAGCCUAUUGAAAAAAAACUUAAAACUUUGGUUGAGGUGGGAGGUGGUGAUAAUGGUACAGACUUAAUAAAAAUGUGGUUUCCAG
rnacentral:lncRNA from 1 species